rnacentral:sRNA from 1 species
UUUUAGCCCCGAUAGAAACGUAAAUCCUUUUUAUUUUUUCUUUAAAAAUAAAAAGAUUGAAGUGAAUAGCGGGAAAUAGC